CGGACGGGUGAGUAAUGUCUGGGAAACUGCCCGAUGGAGGGGGAUAACUACUGGAAACGGUAGCUAAUACCGCAUAAUGUCUGCGGACCAAAGCGGGGGGACCUCCGGGCCUCGCGCCAUCAGAUGAACCCAUAUGGGAUUAGCUUGUAGGUAAGGUAACGGCUUACCUAGGCGACGAUCCCUAGCUGGUCUGAGAGGAUGAUCAGCCACACUGGGACUGAGACACGGCCCAG
rnacentral:rRNA from 1 species